rnacentral:rRNA from 1 species
AUUGAACGCUGGCGGCAUGCUUUACACAUGCAAGUCGAACGGUAACAGGCCUUCGGGUGCUGACGAGUGGCGAACGGGUGAGUAAUGCAUCGGAACGUGCCCAAUCGUGGGGGAUAACGUAGCGAAAGUUACGCUAAUACCGCAUAAGCCCUGAGGGGGAAAGUGGGGGACCGCAAGGCCUCACGCGAAUGGAGCGGCCGAUGUCAGAUUAGCUAGUUGGUGGGGUAAAGGCCCACCAAGGCGACGAUCUGUAGCGGGUCUGAGAGGAUGAUCCGCCACACUGGGACUGAGACACGGCCCAGACUCCUACGGGAGGCAGCAGUGGGGAAUUUUGGACAAGUGGGG